rnacentral:snoRNA from 1 species
AAGCCAUGAUGAGGGCAUUGGUUGGUGUAACCCUUGAAACGCUCCCAUGCUUCACAGAAGCUUUCACUAGCCUUCUAUAAAAAGACAGAGAUCUCAUUUCUGGCGU